rnacentral:misc_RNA from 1 species
GAACUGCGAUAAGUAAUGUGAAUUGCAGAAUUCAGUGAAUCAUCGAGUCUUUGAACGCACAUUGCGCCCCCUGGCAUUCCGGGGGGCAUGCCUGUCCGAGCGUCAUUGCUGCCCUUCAAGCCCGGCUUGUGUGUUGGGUCGUCGUCCCCUCCGGGGGACGGGCCCGAAAGGCAGCGGCGGCACCGCGUCCGGUCCUCGAGCGUAUGGGGCUUUGUCACCCGCUCGAUAAGGACCGGCCGGGCGCCAGCCGGCGUCUCCAACCUUUUUUUCUCAGGUUGACCUCGGAUCAGGUAGGGAUGCCCGCUGAACUUAAGC